rnacentral:rRNA from 1 species
GACAGAGGCCUCAAGCGUUAGGCGGAAUCACUGGGCUUAAAGCGUGUGUAGGCGGACUUCUAAGUGCCUUGUGAAAUCCCACGGCUCAACCGUGGAACUGCUGGGCAUACUGGGAGUCUUGGGCCAUUCAGGGGCAACUGGAACAAGCGGUGGAGCGGUGAAAUGCGUAGAUGUCGCUUGGAACGCCGAAGGUGAAAACAGGCUGCUGGGGUUGCGCCGACGCUGAGACACGAAAGCCAGGGGAGCAAACGGG